AUUGAACGCUGGCGGCAUGCCUAACACAUGCAAGUCGAACGGCAACACAGUUAGAGCUUGUUAUUACUGGUGGCCGGUUGCGUACUGCAUAGGAAUAUACCCGGACCUACUUUUUCGUGGGGCAUAACGUAUGGUAAUUUACCCUAAUAUCUCAUACGACCUACAGGUGAAAGCAGGGGAUCUUCCGUUCUUGCGCGCCUGUAUGAGCCGAUGUCGGAUUAGGUAGUUGGGGGGUUAAAGGCCCACCAAGGCGACGAUCCGUAGCUGGCCUGAGAGGACGAUCAGCCACACUGGAACUGAGACACGGUCCAGACUCCUACGGGAGGCAGCAGUGGGGAAUAUUGGACAAUGGGCGAAAGCCUGAUCCAGCAAUGCCGCGUGCAGGAAGAAGGCCUUCGGGUUGUAAAGCGCUUUUGUAGGGAAAGAAAAGCAGCAGGCUAAUACCUGGCGGAUAUGACGGUACCGUAAGAAUAAGCACCGGCUAACUACGUG
rnacentral:rRNA from 1 species